CAGCCCUCUGGGAUAGUUGCUAUUAGUAUCCCCAUUUUACAUAGAAGCUAAGGCCUGGGGAGGGGGGCAGGGAGGAUAAUGAGUGUGGGUUAGGGACUGGUAUCAGGAGGAAUUCUGAGACUUGAGGGCCCCCUGCCUGGGCCAGCUGGGCUCCUGACUUCCCCUAGGAAGAGGGAGGCAGCCUCUUCUUGAGUUCUGUGUUCCCUUCCAUGAGCAUUGAAGAUGGCCCCAUGCCAGAGGCCAGCAGGCUCCGGAGGGGCUCAGUCUCCCCUCUCCUAGAGUGGUGUAUGAAAUAGGAAGGCUUGAGUUUUUGUGACUUGUUUUAGAGGUGCUAAGAAAGUGACACCUGGGUCCGAAAUAUUGACCUAUUUCCUUUUACCUAUAAUAACAUAGCAUCUAACAUUUCACAGCAUCUACCUAAUGAAGUUAGCCCACUACUGCAUGGCCGCGGACCCGUGGUCUGCACCUGGGCCCCUAAGGUGAGGCCAGGGAACUGUCUUUUCAUAAUAAAUCAUUCCCAAGGGACCAGGGACUUUUGUCCCACCCCCCUGCUCUGGCGAGCAGUUUCUAUCCUUCUGGUGUCUUCAUGUUUGGAAUUAGAGUUAAUAAAUGAUCAUUAUAAGGACAUGCCUGCCUGCUGUCUACAGGCACUGUCAAGGUAAGGAGGUGCCAGUCCUGGUCCCUUGCCAAGGUGGCCAUGUGCUGAAGGAUCCAGAUGUGGGGCUCCAGGUGGGCUUUAGUGCUAAUGGAAAGCUUGCCAGGACGUUGUGAGCAAGCUCGGCUUUAGAGCUAGAAGAGACAGUUCCAGAGGCGUCACACGUGGAACCCUCAAAUGUAAUUGGGAAAUGAUGAAAUAAAGCUACAUUAGAACAUAGAUAAUGUUAUUAAUAUGUGACUGUACAGAGCCUUCCUUGCUUCUGUUGGAGUUUGGUACCCCUGGCCUAGCAGGGCAGGGACUUGUCCAGGGUCACUUAGCCACUGAACAAGAGGCAAGGUCCAGGAAUCAGAGGCCACCCCGUCAGGGUCAGAGCCAAACCGGGAGGGGGGUAGGGUCUCUCUGUCCAGAGACUGUGCCCCUGAGUUUGGGGGGCUUCUUCACUGAUGGUUUUCUCUGUGAUUUCAGGUACUGUCUAAUAGGAAGGAUGGAGUUGGGGAAAGGCAAGCUUCUCAGGACCGGCCUCAAUGCCCUGUACCAAGCAGUCCAUCCCGUGCAUGGCAUCGCCUGGACUGACGGGAAGCAGGUUGUCCUGACGGCGCUGCAGCUGCAGAAUGCAGGGCCCACAUUUGGAGACUCAAGGAUCAUGGGGCAGUUUGAACACGUGCACGGGCUGUCCUGGGGUCCCCCAGGGGCGGCAGGUAGCCCCACCCUGCUGGCGGUACAGCACAAGAAACACGUCUCCGUGUGGCAGCUGUGCUCGAGCCUCUCGGAGAGAAGCAGGCUGCUGGUGUCCCAGACGUGCGAGGUCGGGGAGCCCCACCCCGUGCUCCCCCAGGGCUGCGUGUGGCAUCCCCACAAGGCAAUCCUGACCGUGCUCACCAGUCGCGACGUCUCUGUCCUCCACUCGGUGCACUGUGACAGCUCCCGGGUGAAGGCCGACCUGGUCAGAGACCAGGGCUUUGUGCACUGUGCGUGCUGGACCCAUGAUGGUCACAGGCUGGUGGUGGCUGUGGGCAGUGCCCUGCAUUCUUUCAUGUGGGACGACUCCCAGAAGACUCUGCACGCGUGCUCUUUCUGCCCGGUGUUUGAUGUGGGUAGUCACAUCUGCUCUGUGUUAGCCACUGUGGACAUGCAGAUUGCUGUGGCCACUGAACUCCCACUGGACAAGAUCUGUAGCCUCCACUCAAUGGAGGCCUUUGAGAUAUCGACUGCGGAAGAGAUGCAGCCCUCACCCUCAUCCCUGGCCGGCAUUGUGGAGGAGCCCUCUGUGGAGCCCGGGAAAGCGUCCCCCGACUCAGAGCCGUCCUUCUCGUCUUCCUCCCUAGACUCAGGGGAUCUCACGCUGAUGCCCCCUGGAGGCCAUCAAUGCGACUCGAGCUUACUCUUCCGCCUCCAAGAGAAGGGCUGCCUCUCUGGAGCAGGCCAGGACUCCUCCCAUUUGGUCCUGGUGACCUUCGACAGGACGGUCACCACCUCCCGGAAGGUGGGCAUCCCGGGUGUCCUGGUGCCGGACCUGCUGGCCUUUGAUCCCAAGUCUCAGGUGGUGGCUGUGGCCUCCAACACAUGCCACAUCAUUCUGAUUUAUUCCCUGAGCCCCUCCUCGGCACCAGGUGUCCAGUGCAUCCGGCUGGAGACCUGUGAGAGGCCCAAGGGCAUCUGCUUCUUGUCAGACAAACUACUCCUGAUUUUGGUGGGGAAGCAAAAGGUCACAGACCCCACUUUCCUUCCCUCCUCCAAGUCUGACAAGUACACCAUUCGCUUGGUGGUCAGGGAAGUCACCUUCGAGGGAGAACCCUCCUGGAAGUCUGACUGGAGCCAGCAAGAUUUCUGCAAUGUCAGCACGACGCUGGGCUUGACCAGUGAGAGGAAGCCGGGGGAGAGCCACUGCCCCAUCUUCUACCCUCAGAUGAGAGAACUCCUCAUCCCCGGAAAGCUCCACGUGCAGCCUCUGGCUAGGGUGAAAACCUUGAUCGAGGAAAUCACGGUCACUCCCUGGGCCCAGAGCCCCAGGCCCAAUGCUGCACUGCUGAGCAAGCCCAUGCCAGCCACUGAUGCUGCUGCCUCCGUGCAAGGGCUGGAGGCUGUGUCCAGCCCCUGGUCCCCAGCUCCACUUGGCCCCGAUGCCAGGCCAGGCUCACCAAAGACCCAGUGCCGCCUAAUACACGAGCCCCUGAACCUUCCCCAGGACAAAGCCUCCAUGAAGGAAAAGGAGGACAGUCGGUUGUGUAGGGUACUGGAGAGGCUGUCUGGAAGCUUCACGGACCUCCACCAGCGCCUCUUAGAGCUCAUAGACCUUCUGCACGGGAAGGAGCAGCCACCAUCCCCCACCACGUACCCGCUCUCUCAAGACCCAUCUUUCCUUCUCAUCACCUGUCAGAAGCCGUCCCCGACAGGGCCCGUGGUGGACAAGAGAGCAGUCCUUCUCUGUGAUGGCAAGGUGCGCCUGCAGACAGUCCAGCAGGUGUUUGGCCUCUCUCUGGUGGAGAUGCAGCACGGCUCCCUCUGGAUCCUCCUCUCUGCGGACAGUGAAGGCUUCAUCCCGUUAACAUUCUUGACCUCCCAGGAGAUCACCAUCCGUGAUGGCAGUGGCAGCAGGCUGGGCUCCCCCACCCAGUGAGUCAGCAUCUGUCUGCCAAGCAGGCGUUUGCACUGGAGCGGUCCCCACCCCUCUGAAAGGCCAUUCUGCAGUGUCCAGAUAUCUGGAGCACUCAGGGCCGCGUGGGCCUGAAAGGGCCUGGGCAUCACUUUGCAAAGAGACAGGAAGAAUAAAGUCUGGUGAAGGGGUCAGAACUGCGCUUUAGGAAAAUCCCAUUGGCGGCCGAAUGGAGAAUGGACGCAUCAGGGAGAGACUGAGGCAGGCAGACCCCCUCCUCCACCCUCAGCAGCUCCUGCCAUUGUCCAGGUGUGAGGUGAUGAGGGCCUGUGCCAGGGUGGGGGCAGGUGGGAGGAAAGAAGGGGGCAUGUCUCCAGAGGUGAGAUUGACCAGAGGUGCCACAAAGGUGACAUCAUUAGGCCCCGGGGAGUUCCCCUUUGCAGCUACAUUGGUACAAAGCCCAUUCUUCCUCCUCCUCAAAGUUGUUUGUGCCCUCAGAAUUUCAUUUUUGAGCAUCUCCCUCUUUUUUCCCUGUUCCCCUUGUUGUUUCCUCUGCCUUUUGAAGGAUGAAAUUAUCCUAUGGGCAAGUCAAGAA